AGUUCUUCAGGGUUACAGAGAAGACUUUGGACAACACCUCAGACCUGAUUGGCCUAGUCCAAGAGCUCUGAUGGACUCAGGACCACUCCAGAGAUAUGGCUCCCUCCGAUACCAACAGAGUCACAGCUCAGACCCACUUCAGCAUCUUCCAACUAACUCAGGUGGAGCAGAGCACAUCAGAGCCCUGCAGCAUCAUGCACAGACGGCUGGUCACCACUUCCAAGGU